GAUGAACGCUGGCGGCGUGCCUAAUACAUGCAAGUCGAACGCAUAGCGAAAGGUGCUUGCACCUUUCAAGUGAGUGGCGAACGGGUGAGUAACACGUGGACAACCUGCCUCAAGGCUGGGGAUAACAUUUGGAAACAGAUGCUAAUACCGAAUAAAACUUAGUGUCACAUGACACAAAGUUAAAAGGCGCUUCGGCGUCACCUAGAGAUGGAUCCGCGGUGCAUUAGUUAGUUGGUGGGGUAAAGGCCUACCAAGACAAUGAUGCAUAGCCGAGUUGAGAGACUGAUCGGCCACAUUGGGACUGAGACACAGCCCAAACUCCUACGGGAGGCUGCAGUAGGGAAUCUUCCACAAUGGGCGAAAGCCUGAUGGAGCAACGCCGCGUGUGUGAUGAAGGCUUUCGGGUCGUAAAGCACUGUUGUAUGGGAAGAACAGCUAGAAUAGGAAAUGAUUUUAGUUUGACGGUACCAUACCAGAAAGGGACGGCUAAAUACGUG
rnacentral:rRNA from 1 species